GGGCCCGCACAAGCGGUGGAGCAUGUGGUUUAAUUCGAUGAUACGCGAGGAACCUUACCAGGGCUUAAAUGUAACGGGACAGAUCUAGAGAUAGAUCCUUCUUCGGACUCAUUACAAGGUGCUGCAUGGUUGUCGUCAGCUCGUGCCGUGAGGUGUCAGGUUAAGUCCUAUAACGAGCGCAACCCCCAUCGUUAGUUGCCAACGAGUAAUGUCGGGAACUCUAACGAAACUGCCGGUGCAAACCGUGAGGAAGGUGGGGAUGACGUCAAAUCAUCACGGCCCUUACGUCCUGGGCUACACACGUGCUACAAUGGUCGGUACAGAGAGCAGCCACUACGCGAGUAGGAGCAAAUCUUCAAAGCCGAUCUCAGUUCGGAUCGGAGUCUGCAACUCGAGUGCAUGAAGCUGGAAUUACUAGUAA
rnacentral:rRNA from 1 species